GAUGAACGCUGGCGGCGUGCCUAAUACAUGCAAGUCGAGCGAACGGACGAGAAGCUUGCUUCUCUGAUGUUAGCGGCGGACGGGUGAGUAACACGUGGAUAACCUACCUAUAAGACUGGGAUAACUUCGGGAAACCGGAGCUAAUACCGGAUAAUAUUUUGAACCGCAUGGUUCAAAAGUGAAAGACGGUCUUGCUGUCACUUAUAGAUGGAUCCGCGCUUCAUUAGCUAGUUGGUAAGGUAACGGCUUACCAAGGCAACGAUGCAUAGCCGACCUGAGAGGGUGAUCGGCCACCCUGGAACUGAGACACGGUCCAGACUCCUACGGGAGGCAGCAGUAGGGAAUCUUCCGCAAUGGGCGAAAGCCUGACGGAGCAACGCCGCGUGAGUGAUGAAGGUCUUCGGAUCGUAAAACUCUGUUAUUAGGGAAGAACAUAUGUGUAAGUAACUGUGCACAUCUUGACGGUACCUAAUCAGAAAGCCACGGCUAACUACGUG
rnacentral:rRNA from 1 species